UGGGGAAUUUUGGACAAUGGGCGAAAGCCUGAUCCAGCAAUGCCGCGUGUGUGAAGAAGGCCUUCGGGUUGUAAAGCACUUUUGUCCGGAAAGAAAUCCUUGGCUCUAAUACAGUCGGGGGAUGACGGUACCGGAAGAAUAAGCACCGGCUAACUACGUGCCAGCAGCCGCGGUAAUACGUAGGGUGCAAGCGUUAAUCGGAAUUACUGGGCGUAAAGCGUGCGCAGGCGGUUUGCUAAGACCGAUGUGAAAUCCCCGGGCUCAACCUGGGAACUGCAUUGGUGACUGGCAGGCUAGAGUAUGGCAGAGGGGGGUAGAAUUCCACGUNUAGCAGUGAAAUGCGUAGAGAUGUGGAGGAAUACCGAUGGCGAAGGCAGCCCCCUGGGCCAAUACUGACGCUCAUGCACGAAAGCGUGGGGAGCAAACAGGAUUAGAUACCCUGGUAGUCCACGCCCUAAACGAUGUCAACUAGUUGUUGGGGAUUCAUUUCCUUAGUAACGUAGCUAACGCGUGAAGUUGACCGCCUGGGGAGUACGGUCGCAAGAUUAAAACUUAAAGGAAUUGACGGGGUCAUAGCUG
rnacentral:rRNA from 1 species